AUUGAACGCUGGCGGCAUGCCUUACACAUGCAAGUCGAACGGCAGCGGGGACUUCGGUCCGCCGGCGAGUGGCGAACGGGUGAGUAAUGUAUCGGAACGUACCAUUGAGUGGGGGAUAACUAUCCGAAAGGAUAGCUAAUACCGCAUAUUCUCUCCGGAGGAAAGCAGGGGACCGCAAGGCCUUGCGCUCAUUGAGCGGCCGAUAUCAGAUUAGCUAGUUGGUGGGGUAAAAGCUCACCAAGGCGACGAUCUGUAGCGGGUCUGAGAGGAUGAUCCGCCACACUGGAACUGAGACACGGGCCAGACUCCUACGGGAGGCAGCAGUGGGGAAUUUUGGACAAUGGGGGCAACCCUGAUCCAGCCAUGCCGCGUGAGUGAAGAAGGCCUUCGGGUUGUAAAGCUCUUUCGGCCGGGAAAAAAUCGCAUGGGCUAAUACCCUGUGUGGAUGAUGGUACCGGAAUAAGAAGCACCGGCUAACUACGUGCCAGCCGCCGCGGUAAUAC
rnacentral:rRNA from 1 species